rnacentral:lncRNA from 1 species
CUCUUCUUCGUCUUCUUCAAUUCUAUCAGUCACUGGAAUGUAUAUGAGCGCUUUAAAAUGAUCUUCUGUCAACGAGCUACUUGUCUUUAAACUUCACUAGACUUCCAGGCUGUUUCAAAGGUCGGCUUCUCGAUGAAUCUUAAAAUAAACGUUUAAGGAAGCGGGCUGGUCUUAAUUUGUUGUAUUGCAACGCAACAUCCGUCAUGC